GGCCGGCUAGCUCAGUCUGUUGAGCAUGAGACUCUUAAUAUCAGCGUCGUGCGUUCGAACCACACGUUGGGCG
rnacentral:tRNA from 1 species